CCAGCACCUUCCUCUUGAUAACUCUGUUUCUCCUUCCACCCAUGCCGUCUAGACGGCUAGAAGUUUGCCUGCAUUUUCUGAUCCAAAUUUCCAGCCUCCGAAGAUUUUUCUUCCGUUUUCAUACGAUCAUAGUUCCCUUCCGUGGGUUCCAAUGUCAAAAACAUUGUUGCUUCUUCGGUAUUCGUUUCCCAGGCUCUCUGCAACCAUUGGUCAAAUUUAUUUUAAUCUCGGAUAGGCCAGUUGGCAGCACUUGAGCAAAAAUGUUACGAAACUGGAAAGGAAUGUUCUACCUAAAGCUACUUGGUUCAACAGGUCACUUCCCAGAUAUGUGAGGGAAGGAAACUGUCCUCAGAGCCUUCACCUUCAACUUUUCCUACCAUCAAUUUCAACAUUUUGCCCACAGGGAUCCCCAUCAACCAGCUUGUGCUCUGUUCUUGCUGCUGCCUUCAGGAAGAAGGUACAGGAGCCCCAAGACUCACACCAUCAGGUUCCUGAACCGAAGUGGUCAACUUGACUUGCUCAGUUACUGAACUGUUCGCACAACCUAUGGGCUCACACUCAAGGACUCUUCAUCUCAUGUUCUUGAUAUUUAUUAUUAUUAUUUCUUUCUUUUGGAUUUGCACAUUGGUUGUUUGCCCUGUUAGUGCGAUCUUUCAUUGAUUCUAUUAUGGUUAUUGGAUUUAUUUAGUAAGCCUGCAAGAAAAUGAAUCUUAGAGUUGUAUAUGGUGACAUAUAUAGUAUGUACAUUGAUAAUAAAUUGACAUUGAACUCCAUUUAAUCUUAAAAUAAGUUGCAGUUCCAACAGAAUGCCUACUCCUCCAACCCCAACAAGCCUGUUAUCAUGACUUAAGAAUUACACCUCUUAGUUGAAUCCAAAUUAGUCCGAAUAUUCAAAAUAGUUUUGUCAAUUGUUCACCAAAAUACUCAAAACAUAGUCAGGUUGAUCAAUUAUCACAAUCUCUCGUAUGUUUUAAGCUGUGUUCAGCUCUGAGUGCAUUAGUUUUGCAAGUCAGGGAGUUUUCCUUGUGCAGCAACAUGUUCUUGUAGUACAUUUCUUACCAGUUUCUUCUGAGCACAAUUUACUACAGCUUCCAUGGAGAUUGGGGAAGUAGCAGCUUUCAGCACAAAAAAAUCCACGUCCGUUCUCUCUCCUCAUUGUUUCACGGACCAAUGAUACCACAGUAUAAAUUCAAUUCAAGAGAAGAGUGGUACCUUGUUCAACUGGGUUCUAGCCACAGUCUAUGCCAUUCCAUUGACUUCCUGUUGGACUAAAUGUAACUCUACUCGAAAGGCUGGGAAAGUUACCCCUUUGUUUUAAAAUAUGCAAAUCAAGGUAAAUAUGUAUCGAACCAAUUUUGCUACUCACUGGCACCCCAAGUCUUGUUCUCUCUUUAAACUCACCAGAUCUCCACUUCCUGUUCAUUUUUAAGCAUACCAGGUUAUAUUUUCCUCACACCUUUAAAACAGACAGGCCUUGUUUUCUGUGCUUCUUUUAAACCCAUUUUAUAUGUUCCUUUUAUCUU